rnacentral:rRNA from 1 species
AUCACUUGUCCUUUAAAUGAGGACCUGUAUGAAUGGCUAGACGAGGGCUUAGCUGUCUCCUCCCCCCAGUCAAUGAAAUUGAUCUCCCCGUGCAGAAGCGGGGAUUAACACAUAAGACGAGAAGACCCUAUGGAGCUUUAGACACUAGACAGCCCACGUUACACCCCCUCCAUUAAGAGGGGAAAACAUUGUGGCUCCUGCCUCCCCUGUCUUCGGUUGGGGCGACCGCGGAGGAUAGCAAAGCCUCCUUGUGGACCAAGGUUACGAACCUCACACCUAAGGGCUGCCGCCCUAAGCAACAGAAAUUCUGACCAAGAUGAUCCGGCGUAACGCCGAUUAACGGAACAAGUUACCCUAGGGAUAACAGCGCAAUC